rnacentral:tRNA from 1 species
GCCGGUGUAGCUCAGUUGGUAGAGCAGCCGAUUCGUAAUCGGCAGGUCGGAGGUUCAAGUCCUCUCGCCGGCACCA